AUACCAGCACCCCGAGUGGUCGGGACGAUUAUAGGGCCUAAAGCAUCCGUAGCCGGUGUAGCAAGUCCUCCGUUAAACCCACUUGCUCAACAAGUGGGCUGCGGAGGAUACUGCUACACUAGGGGGCGGGAGAGGCGAGGGGUAUUCCACGGGUAGGGGUAAAAUCCUCUGAUCCGUGGAGGACCACCAGUGGCGAAGGCGCCUCGCCAGAACGCGCCCGACGGUGAGGGAUGAAAGCUGGGGGAGCAAACCGGAUUAGAAACCCUAGUAGUCC
rnacentral:rRNA from 1 species